rnacentral:rRNA from 1 species
UCCUACGGGAGGCAGCAGUGGGGAAUCUUAGACAAUGGGCGCAAGCCUGAUCUAGCCAUGCCGCGUGAGUGAUGAAGGCCUUAGGGUCGUAAAGCUCUUUCGCCUGUGAUGAUAAUGACAGUAGCAGGUAAAGAAACCCCGGCUAACUCCGUGCCAGCAGCCGCGGUAAU